GAAAUUAUGAACAAAAUUGACCUUCGUAUAAGUCAUCCAGUCUCAGGAAGAAAUUGAAGGCAGAGAGAUGACCUGACUCACGAGAGGAGACCUAAGGCCUGGAGAGUGGGAGGACAAGGGGCAGAAGCCAGUCUUCUGACAGUGAGACCAGACUUCCACACUUCAUGCCUCAUUCUUGUCUGGGAGACCUAUAAAUACUAUAAAGUCAGAGAUCAAGUCUGCCUUGGUCACUACUGAUGAACUAACUCUUACAA